GCCAGGCAUGGUGGUGCAUGCCUGUAGUCCCAGCUGCUUAGGAGGUUGAGGCAGGAGGAUUGCUUGAGCCCGGGAGUUCGAGGCUGCAGUUAGCUGUGAUCACACCACUGCACUCCAGCCUGCACAAUAGAGCAAGACCCUGUCUCAA
rnacentral:SRP_RNA from 1 species